rnacentral:rRNA from 1 species
UACGUAGGGGGCAAGCGUUGUCCGGAUUUAUUGGGCAUAAAGAGCGUGUAGGCGGCCAUGUAGGUCCGUUGUGAAAACUCGAGGCUCAACCUCGAGACGUCGGCGGAAACCCUCUGGCUAGAGUCCGGAAGAGGAGAGUGGAAUUCCGAGUGUAGAGGUGAAAUUCGUAGAUAUUCGGAAGAAACACCAGUGGCGAAGGCGACUCACUGGACAUGUAUUGACGCUGAGGUGCGAAAGCGUGGGGAGCAAACAGG